UACGUAGGGUGCGAGCGUUGUCCGGAAUUAUUGGGCGUAAAGGGCUCGUAGGCGGUUUGUCGCGUCGGGAGUGUAAUCCUCGUGCUUAACACGGGGCUUGCUUUCGAUACGGGCAGACUGGAGGCAUGCAGGGGAGAACGGAAUUCCUGGUGUAGCGGUGAAAUGCGCAGAUAUCAGGAGGAACACCGGUGGCGAAGGCGGUUCUCUGGGCAUGUCCUGACGCUGAGGAGCGAAAGUGUGGGGAGCGAACAGGAUUAGAAACCCUAGUAGUCC
rnacentral:rRNA from 1 species